rnacentral:rRNA from 1 species
UACGAAGGGGGCUAGCGUUGCUCGGAAUCACUGGGCGUAAAGCGCACGUAGGCGGAUCUUUAAGUCAGGGGUGAAAUCCUGGAGCUCAACUCCAGAACUGCCUUUGAUACUGGGGAUCUCGAGUCCGGAAGAGGUUGGUGGAACUCCGAGUGUAGAGGUGAAAUUCGUAGAUAUGCGGAGGAACACCGAUGGCGAAGGCAGUCCGCUAGGCUUUAACCGACGCUCAGGCACGAAAGCGUGGGGAUCAAAACAGGAUUA